UACGUAGGUGGCGAGCGUUGUCCGGAUUUACUGGGCGUAAAGGGAGCGUAGGCGGACUUUUAAGUGAGAUGUGAAAUACUCGGGCUCAACUUGAGUGCUGCAUUUCAAACUGGAAGUCUAGAGUGCAGGAGAGGAGAAUGGAAUUCCUAGUGUAGCGGUGAAAUGCGUAGAGAUUAGGAAGAACACCAGUGGCGAAGGCGAUUCUCUGGACUGUAAUUGACGCUGAGGCUCGAAAGCGUGGGGAGCAAACAGG
rnacentral:rRNA from 1 species